rnacentral:tRNA from 1 species
GCCUUCGUGGUGUAACGGUGGCACACUUGGCUCGUAUUCGAGAGGUUUAAGUUCGAGUCCUGGCGAGAUCA